AUAUGGGGCCUUGAAAACCUAUGGUCCGAUUUCGGCGAUUUUUAGAAUGGGGCUUCCACACUAUAAAGGUAGUAUUUGUGCAAAGUUCUGCAUCGAUAUCUUCACUAGUGCUUCCUUUAUAUAUUGUAAAGUUAACGAUUCAGUAGUGCGUUUCUGUAACUUUUCGUUAUGAUAUCGAAAGAAAUAUCACUUUUGCUUAACGAAAGGUUUAUAACGAACAAUUGUUUUGAAGUGUUUCUGUAACUCAGAAAAGUCACCUUUCGUUAUGGUUGUGGUGAGUCGUUAUCGAUGUUAUCGAAAAUGUGCUAUAAAUAAAAUGAAUGCAUAAACAUCUGUCAAUGUACACGAAUAUAUUUGUUUUGUUUACUGCAAAAAAGUUUUGUUUACUCUUAUUUUUUUAUUCUGAAUCAAAUUAUGAUAGCUGCUGCAUUAUUUGCCUUAUUGGAGGACCAACGGAAUAUGUUACGCGUUCAUCGGCGACAUCUGAGGGAUACAACUGACCCAUUUCAUUUGAAGGAAGCUCGCUUUGAAGAGCUAUUCCGUUUUAAAAAAGAUCCCGCAAUAGCCUUGUUACAAGAGCUAAGUCCUCAUAUGAAAAGUGGCGAAAGGAGUACGGUUGUCCCAAAAUCAUUAAGAAUGACUGCAGCACUUCAUUACUAUGCGGCAUGAUCAUAUUUCAGAGACGUUGGCCAAGAUUUUGUGUGCUCAUUAAGCAAGACAGUUGUGUGUCGUGCAGUAAAAGAAGUCACAAACAUCAUUGAAGGAAAAUUAAUGUGUAAAUACAUUAAAUUUCCAACAUCUUUAGAGGAACAAAACAAAAUAAAACAAACGUAAGAAAGUCAUUAUAUAGGUACAUAUAAAAUAUUGUGUAUGUACAUAUGUGUUUAUGUUUUUACAGAUUUUUUUCAUUUACGGGUUUUCCUAUAUAUAUAUAUAUAUAUAGAUACAUGCAUAUGUUUAAAUAUAAUAUACUGAACGAACCUUUUUCCACUGCUCAACGGUUUUACAUGCUCCUCCGCAUGCAAUCAAUUCCGCUAUGAGAGUUGCCCAAACAGCAUUAGCAGCUUUGCCGCUGUUUGGGCCAUCAAAUUGUCCGGUACCAACAUUUCUAUGAUUUUUCUAUAAAUCUAGAAAUUUUUGUUUUUGUUGUUUGGUAACUUUUCCACUUCUCACUUUUUUCGGUAAAUAAUAUAAACAAUAUAAACAUAAACAAAACAUCAAAAUUUUUCCAGAUUACCACGCUCAUCUUUAUUUUGGCGCAAAAUAUCACUGCAAUUUUUUUAAUGAUAUGAUAACGAAUAUCAUGACGAAAGAAAUAACGAAACUGCUUUUCACCAGACUUACAGAAACACUACACUUCGUUAUACUAGUGAAUUCGAUAUAUCGUUCGUUAUUAUGCAUAACGAAAAGUUACAGAAACGCACUACAGAUCGCCUUCAAAGUUCUGGUAUAUAGAAGUUAACGUGGUUGUGAAGCGAUUUGGCCUAUUUUCACAACAUAUCAUUAGAAUGUAAGAAAACUAUUACAAACGAAGUUUCAUUGAAAUCGGUCGAGUAGUUCCUGAGAUAUGGUUUUUGCCCCAUAAGUGGGCGAUGACACGCCCAUUUUCCAUAUUUUAAAAAAUCUGAGUGCAGCUUCUAACUGCCAUUCCUUAUGUGAAAUUUAGUGUUUCUGGCGUUUUUCGUUACUGAGUUAACUCACUUUUAGUAAGUUACAACCUAACCUUUGUAUGGGAGGUGGGCGUUUUUAUUAUCCGAUUUCAACUAUUUUCAUGGUGUGUGGUGGGGUACGUAAGAGAACUGACUGCAGAAAGUUUGGUUUAUAUAGCUUUAUUGGUUUGCGAGUUAUAUACAAAUAACCGAUUUGGGGGCGGGGCCACGCCCACUUUCCCAAAAAAAUUACAUCCAAAUAUGUCCCUUCCUAGUGCGAUCCCCUAUUUUACUUUUAUAACGUUAUUUAUGGCUUAGUUAUGACACUUUAUGUGUUUUCGGUUUUCGGCAUUUUGUGGGCGUGGCAGUGGUCGAAAGCAACCCUCUCACGGUCCCAAGGAACGUGUGUUCCAAGUUUCAUCAAGAUAUCUCAAUUUUUACUCAAGUUAUUCGUUGCACGGACGGACGGACGGACGGAUAGACAGACAUUCGGAUUUUGACUAGUCACCCUGAUCAUUUUGAUAUAUAUAACCCUAUAUCUAGCUCGUUUAGUUUUAUGACUUACAAACAACCGUUGUGUGAACAAAACUAUAAUACUCUCUUAGCAACUUUUGUUGCGAGAGUAUAAAAAGCUCUUAAUUUUAGACACAGAAUACGAAAUGCUUGAUAAAUUUCAAAUUUUUACAAAUUAGAUAUUUGUUGAAUAUGUUAAGUCCACAGAAUAGGGCUGUAUAAAUGUUCGUAAAGAUUGUAUAUUACAGGCUUUCGCUGACAGUGAAAUUUACAGACGUGUUUAUAUGUUGCCCUGGCAGAUGCUACGACGCAGCAGUGUACAACACUGCUUUGAAAAAUGGUGUUAUUGCAAUCCCUCACAACUAUCAUCUGCUUGGAGAUGGAGCGUAUCCACUCAAGAUGAAUUUAAUCAUACCCUAUCGUGACAAUGGAUUUUUAACCAUACAACAAUCAAAAUUUAAUAUGAUUAUGAGUUUAACGCGAGUGUUUAUAGAUCAAACUUUUGGAAUCCUAAAAAAAAGUUCAGAAUUUUUAAAUUUAUUGAAGUGCAGCGGCCUCACCUACAGAAAAUUAUUGCAAAGACUUGCAUUAUCCUCUUCUCCCGAGGUAUUGUAACGUUUUUUGAUACUUUUGUAGGUGAUCGUGAUGUUCAUGAAACAACUCAUAUUUUCAUCCUUGUUAAAAGGAAAUGAUUCUUCCAGCUCUUUGAUUCCCCUCAGGACUUGUUCCCAAAUUGAGUUUUUCUUUUUUUUAUUUGAGGUGAAAUCUCCUUCAUGUCUCAACCUCGUUCUUAUUAGUGACAUUUUCCUCUCACGAGCCCAUUUCUUUUCUCUAAAAUUCAAAAUUUUCCUAUAAAAUUCUAUAUUUGUGUCUCUUACAUUGGUGGUAACACCGACUUUUCAAAUAUUGAUGUAUGAAUAAAAUUUGUGAUGCGUAAAAUUGGCAACCAGUGCGCAUGAAAAAGUGUUGUCAUUCAAAAAUGAACAUACUUGCGGACAUUUUAAAAUUAUUAUAUACAAUAUAUUUGCAAAUUUGCAUUUUAUAAUUAAUUUUUUUAUGUAAGUAUGCAUAAUAUAAUUAAAAUAUGUUAGAAAAUAGAGAAUAACGAUAAAAAUUAGUUAAUGAAAUAUAUUUUUUGUCUGGAAACGAUGCGUACAAGAAAUUAAGAAAAUAAUAUGAAAGAGAGUGAUAGAAAAACACAAACAGAGUUGUCGAACACAAAUUGCUCGUGUGAACGCAAUGGGCGACAGCAAAAUAUAAUCGCCGAGAAGUUGCAACAGGAGUUGACCCGUGUGAAAUCGCACUAACUCAUACACAGAGAGAUGCACGUACUACAAUGAACCGUUCAAAAAUCGCCGUCAUGGCCACCAUUCAUUUGAAAAGAAAAUUUUAAAUGAGUGGAUAGCGGUACUAUGUAUGACUGGGUGCUGCAGAGUAUUUUAAUGGAAUAUAAUUGCAGAAAAUGGUUCUUGGAAGGCAAAGCGAGCUGCAACGCACGAAUUAUGCCACUGGAGGCAGAUGGGUGAGUUGAUAAUAUUAAACCUUACAUAUGUACAGUGGUUCACAACCAAAGUGAUGCAACCAUAUAUAUAUUUGGCGUAGGAACCGCUUUAAGCGUUUAUAGCCGUAUCCACCAGAGCGCGCCACUCCUUUCUCCUCUUUGCUUUUUGGCGCCAACAGGAAACACCAAGUGAAACCAGGCCUCUUUCCACUUGAUCCUUCCAUCGGAGUGGAGGUCGUCCUGUUCCGCGGCUUCCUCCAGCGGGUACUGCAUCGAAUACUUUCAGAGCUGGAGUGUUUUCAUCCAUCCAUACAACAUGACCUAGCCAGCGUAGCCGCUGUCUUUUUAUUCGCUGAACUAUGUCAAUGUUGUCGUAUAAAUCAUACAGCUCAUCGUUCCAUCGUCUGCGGUAUUCGCCGUUGCUAAUCUUUCGCAAAUCCUUUCUCUCGAAAACCCCAAGAGUCGUCUUAUCGGAUAUUGUCAUCGUCCACGCUUCAGCGCCAUACAUCAGGACGGGAAUAAUAAGUGACUUGUAGAGUUUGAUUUUGGUUUGUCGAGAGAGGACUUUACUUACCUAUUCAGUCCAAAG